UACGAAGGGGGCUAGCGUUGCUCGGAAUCACCGGGCGUAAAGCGCACGUAGGCGGAUUGUUAAGUCAGGGGUUAAAUCCUGGAGCUCAACUCCAGAACUGCCUUUGAUACUGGCGAUCUCGAGUCCGGGAGAGGUGAGUGGAACUGCGAGUGUAGAGGUGAAAUUCGUAGAUAUUCGCAAGAACACCAGUGGCGAAGGCGGCUCACUGGCCCGGUACUGACGCUGAGGUGCGAAAGCGUGGGGAGCAAACAGG
rnacentral:rRNA from 1 species